GACUAGACUAUCUCUGCUUCCAAAACUGUGUUCAUAGGAAGCUAUAUGUGCUAGAAAGCAUCAGAAAAACCCAGGUCUGUCUGGUCCUGGAGGCUAGCAGAAGCUCCUCUGUCAAUCAUCCCUGCCUUCAUGCAGGUGCAGCUAACUGAUUCUUGGAAACCUGUGGCAAGGAAGUCUGGGAUAUGCAGAUUUCUGUUCUUUCUAGUGGGGUGGAAGAGAGAAUGGAGGUGGUUGGGGCCACUCUAUUGUACUUGUUACAAUGGCGAACAUUUGAGUUAAUUGAUUGUUUGGUCAUAGAAGACCCAAGCUCACAGAUGCUAGAGUUUUACCAGAGCCAGAAGAAAAGCCAUGCAAAAUACGAGAAGUUAAAGCUGGGCGGACGGCUCAGUCAGUAAAGUACUUGCUGUAUGAGCAUGAGGACUAGAAUUUUGGACCCUCAGAACUCAUAGGACAGGGCAACAGCAACAGCAGCCCGGAGAAGAGAAUCGAGGGAUGAUGCCUUAUCUACUUGCCCAUUUAUCCAUUCAAGCUCUACAGUCUCUUGAUUAACGAGGUUGGAAGCAGCACGUGACAGCAGUGUGGCAUCAGAUGCAGGGAAAAAAAAAAAAAAGGCCCCCCAAAUCUCCUGUCUUUACAACAGAGUGACCUGACUCAACAUUCCAGAAAGCCACGCCCCCAGCUAGAGGCCCCUGGCAAGGAAUGAGAAGGGCUGAUUGGUAAAAAGCCUGUGAGGACUGACCAUUCCCAAGCAACAAGGACACAGGAUGGCUCGCCUAAGAUCAGAUCCCUCUCCAGAUGGGAGCGGUUAAUUCGCCAUGCUGGGAACCCCAGAGCAGGAGUUACCGUCUGCCUACUUUCAUUUCUCUUGAUGUGAUAAAAUACACUGAGAAAAAGCAACUUGGGGGGAGGAAUGGAAAUUAUUUCAGUUUUACAUUACAGGUACCUGCCCAUCAUUGCAGUGGAGUCAAGACAAACUUCGAACAGCCAGCUGAAGUACAGCCAUAGUUAAUAUACAAUAAUAGAUCAAUAUAGAAACAGAGAAGCCAGAGACAGGUCUGUGCAGCUUUGGGCUAUCUGAUUCUUGACAACGACGAUACGAACAUGAGCUGUGGAAAGAACGGCCUCUUUAACAAUGGUGUUGGGAAAACUGAUAUCUAUAAAGAAGACUGAAACUUGGUCCCACCUAACAGCCUGAAAGGAAAAAUUAGCAUGUGAUUAAUACUAGGGGAAAGAGAGAGAAGGUAGAAAGCUUCAAGGUAGAAACAUAGGGAACAGCUCUCAGAACAUGUUCCCUUAUCUGAGAAACAAUAGCAAGAGGGCACAAAGUGACUGGAACUUUGAUCCAGCAUGAAGGGGCAGCCUGCAGGAUAGGAGACUAUCUUUGCUAGCUAUUCAUCUGACAGGAGAUUGAUAUGCAGAAUAUACAAACAAUUCUUCUUAAGUGCACACACAGAAAGAAAAGAAAUAAUCCCAACAAUAAAUGGGCAAAUUAACUAGACAGGCACGGCUCAAAGGAAGUGCAAAUUUGGCCAAUGAAUACAAGAAAAAUGUUCGGUGUCUUUAGUCAUCAAGAUGAUGCAGUUUAAAACUUCGCUGCAGGGAGUGGAGAUGGCAGAGUGGUUAAGAACAUGGGUUGCUUUCCCAGAGGACCCAGGGUUUGAUUCCCAGCACCUACGUGGUGACUCACAACCAUCUGUAACUCUAGUCCCAGGGAAUCAGCCACCUCUUCACCUCCGGGGGUACUGUAUGCAGGGGGUACAUAAAUAUAAAUACAGACAAAAUAUCCAUACACAUACACACACAAAUAAACCUUAAAAAAAAAACACUUCAUUGCAAUUCCAUUUCAAAAAAGGCAAUUGUUAAAUAAAAAAAAUAAAAGCAAGAGAUGAUGAGCAGAUGGGGAGGCCCUUACACACUGUAGGUCAGAAUGUAAAUUCAUUCAGCCACCAUAAAAGUCCCUAUAGAGGUUUCUCAACUAAAAACUCAACUAUCAUGAUAUGUAAUUAUUUCAUUCCUGUUUACAUACCUGAGGGAAUCUAGUUAGCAAACCAUAGAAAUUUCUGUACCCUUGAGGUUCUCAAUGCACUAUUUGA